UGCAAACCAAAGCUUCAAUUGCAGCAAGAGAAGCCCCACAGGGAGUCUGAGAGGAAACAAGCAGGACUCUGACAAAGGCCUCCCAUUUCCCUCUGCCUGCUACCAUACGUGCUGGGAAUCCAUCUGACUGGAAGACGCCGAGAUGGGACUGGGCCAUUUGUUGGAGCUCCAGCCUGAGUGGAGGAGUAGGUGCUUGGUCAAUGUUGGUUGAAUGAAGGCGGUAGAAAGGAUCUCUGAAGGUGUGAUGGGAGAGAUGUAACCAGCAGGGCUCAUGAUACUUCUGGCCCAGCAAGCAUGCAAUGGCACAGGCAGACCCUGUGCCGUCCACCAGGAACACCGAGGUGAAGCACAUACAGUCCCUACACUUGACAAGCUCCCAGUUCUGUGUAGAAGAUAGACAUAGUAGCAUUGUAGUGGUAAGUGUUGGAAAAGUGGGAAGCCAAAGGAUGCUGAGGCCACAGAAGUACCUAUCCAAGGCUGAGGGCCAAGCUAGACUGCUUGGAGACAGUGACGCUGAUACAGAUGUCUGCUGGACAAAGACACAGGACUGUGAGUGUACACAUGCAUGUCUGACACAGCAGGCAGGUCAAAUCCAUGCAAACACGGGAAGGGGCGCUGAGAACACCUUUCUAUAUUCUAAAAGGAGCUUGGCAGCUUGUUAUCCAUCAUGGUGGAACAUGGAGAAUAAGAGACCAGACCUGGUAUGUCAUGGCAAAGAGUGUCUUCACUGUGAUUUCAAAAGUACCCAACAUCUGCGAAUUCUACUUCAAGUUACCACCUCAUGGGUCUAGUCAGCUCAGAACAACUUCCAGUGCACUUUUAAUUACUGUCAGGAUCCUGGAAGGCUCUUGAUUAGUAGGUCCAGGUGGUAACCUUUUCCUCCGGUUCAUUAAUAAAGUGUUUCAGAAGCUGGGA